GUGAACAAAGGUGGGGUGCCUCCAUCAUUUACAUUGAAAGAUCAGGAUGGAAAGACUGUGAGCCUCUCCAAAUUCAAAGGCGAGCCUUUGUUGUCUAUUUCUACCCUGCUGAUGAAACCCUGGUUGCACCAAACAGGCAUGUGCUUUCAGGGAUUCCUAUGAAAAGUUUAAGAAAGGAGGAGCUGAGGUUGUCGGAAUAAAGAAGGAUGAUCCAUCAUCACAGAAGGCGAUUGCGAAAAAUACAGACUUCCAUACACAAUGCUGAGUGAUGAGGGUAACAAGGUCAGAAAAUAGUGGGGUGUGCCAUCGGAUCUGUUUGGAACCUUGCCUGAAGACAGACCUAUGUUCUUGACAAGAAGGGGGUGGUUCAACUCAUCUACAACAACCGGUUCCAACCCGAAAAGCAUAUUGACGAAACCCUAAAGAUACUUCAAAGUAUUUGAGUCCUUAAGUUAGAUUCUCAAUCCAAUGCGUGCUUUUAUUUUUGUGAUAAAAGAUUUCUCUCUAAAGGUAGGGACAAAAGCAUGCAUUUGGUAUCAUUGUUUCAUUUUUCUUGUUCAUAAUCUUGACUACUGUAAGGGCUACAUGCUUCUGCCAACCAGUUCUUUUUCUUUUUUAGUUAAAAGGUAAGCUUUUUAUGUAAGAGAA